GGCGGGGGGGCGUGUCCGGGGGGGCGGAGCCGGGUCCCGCGGCUGAAGCGUGUGCUCGCGUGUGCGUGGCGUGUGCGUGGCACCUGUGCACGAGACGUGUUGGAGGCGUGUGUGAGGCAUGUUGGCAGCGUGUGGGAGGCGUGUCAGAAGCAUGUUGAGGCAUGUCAGAGGUGUGUGGAGGUGUGUGUUGGCGUGUGUUCACGUGUGGAGGUGUGUCGGAAGCGUGUGUUGCGUGUGCUGGCACAUGCUGGCGUGUGCUGGCAUGUCGGAAGUGUGUCGGAAGUGUGUGGGAGGCRUGUGUUGGCGUGUGUUGGCGUGUCAGAGGUGUGUCAGAAGGAUGUGGAGGUGUGUUGGUGUGUUGCAGGCGUGUGUUGGCAUGUCAGAAGCGUGUCGGAAGCGUGUCGGAGGCAUGCAUUCACUUGUGUUGCAUGCGUUGGCGUGUCAGAAGCGUGUCAGAGGCAUGUCGAGGCGUGUUGGAGGUGUGUGUUGGUGUGCGUUGGCAUGCGUUGGCGUGUCAGAAGCGUGUGGAGGCACGUUGGCAUGUCGGAAGUGUCGGAGGCGUGUGGGAAGCAUGUGGGAAGCGUGUCAAGGCAUGUGGGAAGAGUGUGGGAAGCAUGUUGAGGCAUGUGGGAAGCGUGUCAAGGCGUGUCGAGGUGUGUCAGAAGUAUGUUCGAGGCGUGUGGGAGGCAUGUGUUGGCGUUUGUUGGCAUGUCGGAGGUGUGUCAGAAGCAUUUGGAGGUGUGUGCCAGUGUGUUGGCGUGUCGGAAGUGUGUCGGAGGUGUGUUGCAUGUGUUGGCGUGUCAGAAGCGUGUCAGAGGCAUGUCGAGGCGUGUUGGAGGUGCGUGUUGGCAUGCGUUGGCGUGAGUUGGUGUGUCAAAAGCGCGUGGAGGCACGUUGGCAUGUCGAGGCAUGUCAGCAGCAUGUCAGAAGCGUGUCGAGGUGUGUCGGAAGUGUGUGGGAAGUGUGUCRGGGYGUGUGGGAAGCAUGUGGGAAGUGUGUCGGAGGCGUGCAUUGACGUGUGUUGCGUGCGUUGGCAUGUCAGAAGUGUGCCAGAGGCAUGUCGAGGC
rnacentral:lncRNA from 1 species